rnacentral:rRNA from 1 species
GGAUUGCCCUAGUAACGGCGAGUGAAGCGGCAACAGCUCAAAUUUGAAAUCUGGCCCCCUCGGGGUCCGAGUUGUAAUUUGCAGAGGAUGCUUCGGCGUUGGCCCCGGGUCAAGUCCCCUGGAACGGGGCGUCCAAGAGGGUGAGAGCCCCGUACUCACCCGGGUGCCCAGCGCCUCGUGAAGCUCCUUCGACGAGUCGAGUUGUUUGGGAAUGCAGCUCUAAGUGGGAGGUAAAUUUCUUCUAAAGCUAAAUACUGGCCAGAGACCGAUAGCGCACAAGUAGAGUGAUCGAAAGAUGAAAAGCACUUUGGAAAGAGAGUUAAAAAGCACGUGAAAUUGUUGAAAGGGAAGCUCUUGCCGCCAGACUUGCCGCGGUUGCUCAGCCGCCCUCCGGGGCGGUGUACUCUUCCGCAGGCAGGCCAGCGUCGGUUCGGGCGGCCGGAUAAAGGCCCCGGGAAUGUAGCACCCUCCGGGGUGUGUUAUAGCCCGGGGCGCAAUGCGGCCAGCCCGGUCCGAGGGACGCGUUCGCGAGGACGUUGGCGUAAUGGCUGCAAGCGACCCGUCUUGAAACACGGACCAAGGAGUCUAACAUCUGUGCGAGUGUUUGGGUGUCAAACCCAUGCGCGUAAUGAAAGUGAACGGAGGUGGGAACCCCCUCGAGGGGCGCACCAUCGACCGAUCCUGAUGUCUUCGGAUGGAUUUGAGUAAGAGCAUAGCUGUUGGGACCCGAAAGAUGGUGAACUAUUCCCGGAUAGGGUGAAGCCAGAGGAAACUCUGGUGGAGGCUCGCAGCGGUUCUGACGUGCAAAUCGAUCGUCAAAUCUAGGAAUAGGGGCGAAAGACUAAUCGAACC